UGGGGAAUCUUGCGCAAUGGGGGGAACCCUGACGCAGCGACGCCGCGUGCGGGAUGGAGGCCUUCGGGUCGUGAACCGCUUUCAGCAGGGACGAGACUGACGGUACCUGCAGAAGAAGCCCCGGCUAACUACGUGCCAGCAGCCGCGGUAAUACGUAGGGGGCGAGCGUUAUCCGGAUUCAUUGGGCGUAAAGCGCGCGUAGGCGGCCGCGCAGGCGGGGGGUCAAAUCCCGGGGCUCAACCCCGGGCCGCCCCCCGAACCGCGCGGCUUGGGUCCGGCAGGGGAGGGUGGAACGCCCGGUGUAGCGGUGGAAUGCGCAGAUAUCGGGCGGAACACCGGUGGCGAAGGCGGCCCUCUGGGCCGGCACCGACGCUGAGGCGCGAGAGCUAGGGGAGCGAACAGG
rnacentral:rRNA from 1 species